AUUGAACGCUGGCGGCAGGCUUAACACAUGCAAGUCGAGCGAGCGGCGGACGGGUGAGUAAUGUCUGGGAAACUGCCUGAUGGAGGGGGAUAACUACUGGAAACGGUAGCUAAUACCGCAUACCAUCAGAUGUGCCAAGGUGGGAUUAGCUAGUAGGUGGGGUAAUGGCUCACCUAGGCGACGAUCCCUAGCUGGUCUGAGAGGAUGACCAACCACGUCUGAACGGAGAAACGGGCCAGAUUCGUACGGGAGGCAGCCGAGGGGAAUAUUGCACAAUGGGCGCAAGCCUAAUGCAGACAUGCCGCGUGUGUGAAGAAGGCAUGCGGGGUGUAAAGCACUUUCAGCGAGGAGGCGUUACUCGCAGAAGAAGCACCGGCUAACUCCGUGCCAGCAGCCGCGGUAAUUC
rnacentral:rRNA from 1 species